ensembl:snoRNA SNORD24 Small nucleolar RNA SNORD24
AGCAAAUGAUGCAAAAGAAUAUUUGCUAUCUGAGUGAUGCUGCUGACAAUCUUAUCCACCAAGAUCUCUGAUGCU